rnacentral:rRNA from 1 species
GGUGGCCUAACACAUGCGAGUCGACGGCAGCACAGGAGAGCUUGCUCUCUGGGUGGCGAGUGGCGGACGGGUGAGGAAUACAUCGGAAUCUACCUUUUCGUGGGGGAUAACGUAGGGAAACUUACGCUAAUACCGCAUACGACCUACGGGUGAAAGUGGGGGACCGCAAGGCCUCACGCGAUUAGAUGAGCCGAUGUCCGAUUAGCUAGUUGGCGGGGUAAUGGCCCACCAAGGCGACGAUCGGUAGCUGGUCUGAGAGGAUGAUCAGCCACACUGGAACUGAGACACGGUCCAGACUCCUACGGGAGGCAGCAGUGGGGAAUAUUGGACAAUGGGCGCAAGCCUGAUCCAGCCAUACCGCGUGGGUGAAGAAGGCCUUCGGGUUGUAAAGCCCUUUUGUUGGGAAAGAAAUCCUGUCGAUUAAUACUCGGUGGGGAUGACGGUACCCAAAGAAUAAGCACCGGCUAACUUCGUGCCAGCAGCCGCGGUAAUACGAAGGGUGCAAGCGUUACUCGGAAUUACUGGGCGUAAAGCGUGCGUAGGUGGUGGUUUAAGUCUGCUGUGAAAGCCCUGGGCUCAACCUGUGAAUUGCAGUGGAUACUGGAUCACUAGAGUGUGGUAGAGGGAUG